rnacentral:rRNA from 1 species
AGUGAACGCUGGCGGUAGGCCUAACACAUGCAAGUCGAACGGCAGCACAGUAAUAGCUUGCUCUUACGGGUGGCGAGUGGCGGACGGGUGAGGAAUACAUCGUAAUCUACUUUUUCGUGGGGGAUAUCGUAGGGAAACUUACGCUAAUACCGCAUACGACCUACGGGUGAAAGCAGGGGAUCUUCGCACCUUGCGCGAUUGAAUGAGCCGAUGUCGGAUUAGCUAGUUGGCGGGGUAAAGGCCCACCAAGGCGACGAUCCGUAGCUGGUCUGAGAGGAUGAUCGGCCACACUGGAAGUGAGACACGGUCCAGACUCCUAAGGGAGGCAGCAGUGGGGAAUAUUGGGCAAUGGGCGCAAGCCUGAUCCAGCCAUACCGCGUGGGUGAAGAAGGCCUUCGGGUUGUAAAGCCCUUUUGUUGGGAAAGAAACGCAGCAGGUUAAUACCCCGCUGUUCUGACGGUACCCAAAGAAUAAGCACCGGCUAACUUCGUG